GAAGAACGACUCUCGGCAACGGAUAUCUCGGCUCUCGCAUCGAUGAAGAACGUAGCGAAAUGCGAUACUUGGUGUGAAUUGCAGAAUCCCGUGAACCAUCGAGUCUUUGAACGCAAGUUGCGCCCGAGGCCAUCAGGUCGAGGGCACGUCUGCCUGGGCGUCACACGC
rnacentral:rRNA from 1 species